CACAGAAAGAGCCGUUACUGAAGAAGUCAUCUCGAUCGGCUAUCAGUUCAUCGAUCACUGCAAGAAAUGCCUUGCUGCCUGAGAAUACAGAUACUUGCCGUGGCUGUCAUCACGCUUGCCAUGCUGGCCAUGGUAUCGGGACGCCCCGGAUCAGAAGUGGACAGUAACGGAGAAGCAUCAAGCAGAGCAGACAGCCCAUGGAACCUGGGUUCUGUGGCGGAAGUUAUACAAUCCUAUUUUGAAGCCUUUUUUCCAAAAAUUGUAGAAGUCGCAAAAAAACUUGUCGGAUUAUCUUCUUAAGUUGAAAAACGGUGAUCAACCUAUAUCAUCACUUGUGUGCAUUGGCGUUUCCCAGGCUUUCACUCUUGCUUUCACGGAAUGAACGAAUCUGUUUUUCCUGCUGAAGAAACAAUAAAGUUGAAGCGAUUGGGCCGUCGCUGUUUUAUUGCUCCUGA